AUUGAACGCUGGCGGCAGGCCUAACACAUGCAAGUCGAGCGGAGCGGCGGACGGGUGAGUAAUGUAUGGGGAACUGCCCGAUAGAGGGGGAUAACUACUGGAAACGGUAGCUAAUACCGCAUACGAUUGGAGCGGCCGAUAGCGGAUUAGCUAGUUGGUGGGGUAAAGGCUCACCAAGGCAACGAUCCCUAGCUGGUGUGAGAUGACGACCAGCCACACUGGGACUGAUACACGGCCCAGACUCCUACGGGAGGCAGCAGUGGGGAAUUUUGGACAAUGGGCGAAACCCUGAUCCAGCCAUCCCGCGUGUAUGAUGAAGGCCUUCGGGUUGUAAAGUACUUUUAGCAGCGAAGCGGUAUCUGCAGAAUAAGCACCGGCUAACUCCGUGCCAGCAGCCGCGGUAAUAC
rnacentral:rRNA from 1 species